GCCUUCGGGUGAAUCCAACUCCCAUGGUGUGACGGGCGGUGUGUACAAGGCCUGGGAACGUAUUCACCGCGGCAUGCUGAUCCGCGAUUACUAGCGAUUCCGCCUUCAUGCUCUCGAGUUGCAGAGAACAAUCCGAACUGAGACGGUUUUUGGAGAUUAGCUCACCAUCGCUGGUUUGCUGCCCACUGUCACCGCCAUUGUAGCACGUGUGUAGCCCAGCGCGUAAGGGCCAUGAGGACUUGACGUCAUCCCCACCUUCCUCCGGCUUAUCACCGGCGGUUCCUUUAAAGUGCCCACCUAAAUGAUGGCAACUAAAGGUGAGGGUUGCGCU
rnacentral:rRNA from 1 species